UCCUAAUACAUUUGGCUCUCGGCUUUUCAGAUCCUAAUAUAUUCAUGCAAUACUUUACCAAACUCUAAUCUUAUACAAACACAAGUAGCUAAAAAUAAUUUUUUUUGAACGGAGGUAGUAAAAUACAGCCUAUAUUUUCAAUCUGAGCGAUCACUUAAGUAGUGUACUAGUGAGCUUGGUACCACUUGCCAACAUGAGGAAAUUUACAGCAUCAUGAGAUAAAAACUUUAUACAAAGAAAUUUUUUGGCACAGACAUGAGGAAUAACACUAGUAUUACCCACAGGAAAUUACAGCUUAGAGUUGUAGAUUAAUUAACAGGAGGAAAGAAAAUGGAAUUUCUACCGCUAGUAAUAUGGAUAAUUGGAUACCGAUGCAACCUGGGGCCCACCUGCUCAGUGACCGGUCAACGCCACCGGAGGAGCGGCCGCCGGCGGCGCGUGCCUCCUCCGGNN
rnacentral:lncRNA from 1 species